GUGGCGAACGGGUGAGUAACACGUGAGCAAUCUGCCCCUGACUCUGGGAUAAGCGCUGGAAACGGCGUCUAAUACCGGAUACGAGCUGCGAAGGCAUCUUCAGCAGCUGGAAAGAAUUUCGGUCAGGGAUGAGCUCGCGGCCUAUCAGCUUGUUGGUGAGGUAACGGCUCACCAAGGCGUCGACGGGUAGCCGGUCUGAGAGGGUGACCGGCCACACUGGGACUGAGACACGGCCCAGACUCCUACGGGAGGCAGCAGUGGGGAAUAUUGCACAAUGGGCGAAAGCCUGAUGCAGCAACGCCGCGUGAGGGACGACGGCCUUCGGGUUGUAAACCUCUUUUAGCAGGAAAGAAGCGAAAGUGACGGUACCUGCAGAAAAAGCGCCGGCUAACUACGUGCCAGCAGCCGCGGUAAUACGUAGGGCGCAAGCGUUAUCCGGAAUUAUUGGGCGUAAAGAGCUCGUAGGCGGUCUGUCGCGUCUGCUGUGAAAACCCGAGGCUCAACCUCGGGCCUGCAGUGGGUACGGGCAGACUAGAGUGCGGUAGGGGAGAUUGGAAUUCCUGGUGUAGCGGUGGAAUGCGCAGAUAUCAGGAGGAACACCGAUGGCGAAGGCAGAUCUCUGGGCCGUAACUGACGCUGAGGAGCGAAAGCGUGGGGAGCGAACAGGAUUAGAUACCCUGGUAGUCCAC
rnacentral:rRNA from 1 species